rnacentral:rRNA from 1 species
AUGUCCAGACACUUCAAUGAAAUACUCUCAGUUGCUUUCAAAUCUGAGAGUUGGAUGGAAGAGUCGACGACAAGUGCUAUCAUCAUGAGGCCAGACAAGUCGUUGUGCCAAUCCAAUGAGUUUCCAACAACGGAAAGUCAUCCGAAGAAUCAUGUCCCGGUGAGUAGUCCAGCUCCAGCAACAAGACCACAUCUGGUUUUCACCAAGAAGCUGGACCAGAGGCAUUGUACUCAGGUUUGGAUGCACUGUGGUACAUAUAUGUCAAGUUUAGCCGUAUGCAAUAAUGCAAUGCUUAUGGUUGAUAGUGCUACAGAUUUGCUUAGUGGGCAGGAAUAA